GCUCAACUUUGAAAUCUCACAGGUUCCCUGUGCGAAUUGUAGUCUCAAGAAGCGCUUUCGGGGGCGGCCUGGGCACAAGUCCUUUGGAACAAGGCAUCAGAGAGGGUGAGAAUCCCGUACCUGGUCCGGUGUCCGCUCCUAUGUGAUGCGUCUUCGUAGAGUCGGAUAGCUUGGGAAUGCUGUCCAAAGUGGGUGGUAAAUACCAUCUAAGGCUAAAUAUUGGCGAGAGACCGAUAGCGAACAAGUACCGUGAGGGAAAGAUGAAAAGAACUUUGAAAAGAGAGUUAAACAGUACGUGAAAUUGUCUAAAGGGAAAGACUUGCAACCAGUAUUGCGCGUCAGAGAUCAGCCGUCCAUAGGGCGGUGCACUCUCUGCCGUGCGGGUCAGCAUCGGUUCGAUCUGAGGUAUAAAGCGCGAGGAAGGUGGCCUUCGGGCGUUAUAGCCUCGCGUCAUGCCUUGGGUUGGACCGAGGAACGCAGCCUUGCCAUGGGGGAACCCGGCGCCUCUUCAAUCGCGGAGUCAAACAGCAUGCUGAUUGGCACCGUUGCUUGUUGCGCCCGUCGGGCUACCACUUCUGGGCUUAGGAUGCUGACGAAAUGGUUGUAAAUCACCCGUCUUGAAACACGGACCAAGGAGUCCAACACAUACGCGAGUCUUUGGGUGGCAAACCCAUGGGCGCAAUGAAAGUGAAAGCCUGCCAACUUCGGUGCAGCAGGGACCGGUCUGGAUUUUUAUGAUGGAUCUGAGUAUGAGCGUAUGUGCUGGGACCCGAAAGAUGGUGAACUAUGCCUGGAUAGGGUGAAGCCAGAGG
rnacentral:rRNA from 1 species